rnacentral:rRNA from 2 species
GUCAGCAGCCAUAUCACCUUGCAGCCCUCAACUGGUAACUCACUGAAGCUAAGCAGGGUUGAGCCUGGUCAGUACCUGGAUGGGAGUCCUCCUGGUAAGCUAUGGUUGCUGCUGGAA